rnacentral:rRNA from 1 species
AUUGAACGCUGGCGGCAGGCCUAACACCUGCAAGUCGAGCGGAGCGGCGGACGGGUGAGUAAUGCCUAGGAAUCUGCCUGGUAGUGGGGGAUAAAGUCCGGCAAAGGGCGCUAAUACCGCAUACUAUCAGAUGAUCCUAGGUAGGAUGCGCUAGUUGGUGGGGUAAAGGCCUCCCAAGGCGACGAGCCGUAACUGGUCUGAGAGGAUGAUCAGUCACACUGGAACUGAGACACGGUCCAUACUCUGACGUGAGGCAGCAGUGGGGAAUAUUGGACAAUGGGCGAAAGCCUGAUCCAGCCAUGCCGCGUGUGUGAAGAAGGUCUUCGGAUUGUAAAGCACUUUAAGUUGGGAGGCGUUACUAACAGAAUAAGCACCGGCUAACUUCGUGACAGCAGCCGCGGUAAUAC